CCCAAGUUAUACAUUUAGAAAGGAAAGAGAUACCUUAAGUACAAUAAAGCAAUGGAACUUUACAAAUGAGGAAAUUAUUUCACAGAACCUGAAUAAAAGAAUCAUAAUAUGUAAUCACAAACUAAAAGAAAAACUCUCCUACUUCAUUCAAGAAAUGUUAGUAUAUUGAUAUGCUUAAUUGCUUAUACUUAAUGGGAUUUCCAAAUUGUACAAAAUUGCACGCUCCAUCACAUCACUGACACAUUCCACUGAAUUUGUAUGGCCAAGGAAACGAUUUACCUUUUUUAGAACGGAGAUAAAAAAAGAUAUGUGCAAAGUACAGCUUUCCAUCCCAAAUUCAACUAACUUAACGUGUUAUAUAAAGCAUCCAAGAUAACUCUUGCCAGGAAGUAGACGUUAUUUAAGCCAUACAUAAACCAGAAUAACUCUUGGCAAGAAAAUAAAUUCAUACACAGACAUCAGUGGUGGACUUAUUUCUUUCAAAACAUAUGCAUUUCAAAUUCAAUUUUGAAAAGUCAAUAGGAUGACUGAUUACCAAAAAAAAAAAGAAAAGAAGAGGAAUCAGAGAGAAAGAAAAACGAAUCUCAGAACAGAGAGUCUAAAUAGUUGCAAAAA